rnacentral:rRNA from 1 species
CACGUAGGCGGAUAUUUAAGUCGGGUGUGAAAUCCCGGGGCUCAACCCCGGAACUGCCUUCGAUACUGGGUAUCUUGAGUUCGGAAGAGGUGAGUGGAAUUGCGAGUGUAGAGGUGAAAUUCGUAGAUAUUCGCAGGAACACCAGUGGCGAAGGCGGCUCACUGGUCCGAUACUGACGCUGAGGUGCGAAAGCGUGGGGAGCAAACA